rnacentral:rRNA from 1 species
UGAAUACGAGAUGCUACGGCGUCGAAGCAGUCUAUGUCAUACUUCCAAGAAAAGCUUGCACUGUCAUAAACAAAUAAUGCCUGUACCAUAACCGACACAGGUGGGUAGGUAGAGUAUACUAAGGGGCGCGAGAUAACUCUCUCUAAGGAACUCGGCAAAAUGACUCCGUAACUUCGGGAGAAGGAGUGCCUUAUUUAUAAGGUUGCAAUAACAAGAUCCAAGCAACUGUUUACCAAAAACACAGGUCUCCGCUAAGUCGUAAGACGAUGUAUGGGGGCUGACGCCUGCCCAGUGCCAGAAGGUUAAAGAAGUUGGUUAGCAUCCGCGAAGCUGAUAACUGAAGCCCUGGUGAACGGCGGCCGUAACAAUAACGGUCCUAAGGUAGCGAAAUUCCUUGUCGGGUAAGUUCCGACCCGCACGAAAGGCGUAAUGAUUUGGAUACUGUCUCGGAGAGGGGCUCGGUGAAAUAGACUUGUCUGUGAAGAUGCGGACUACCUGCACCAGGACAGAAAGACCCUAUGAAGCUUUACUGUAACCUGAAAUUGAAAUUGGACUUUACUUGCGCAGUAUAGGUGGGAGGCGUUGAGAAUAUUCUUGCGGGAUUAUUGGAGCCAUCAGUGAGAUACCACUCUUGUAAUGUUAGAUUUCUAACUUUGUAUCAUUAUCUGGUCAAAGAACAGUUUCAGGCGGGCAGUUUGACUGGGGCGGUCGCCUCCUAAACGGUAACGGAGGCGCACAAAGGUUUCCUCUGAACGGGUAGAAAUCGUAUCUAGAGUGUAAAGGCAUAAGGAAGCUUGACUGUGAGACCUACAAGUCGAGCAGGGACGAAAGUCGGUCUUAGUGAUCUGACGGUGCUGAGUGGAAAGGCCGUCACUCAACGGAUAAAAGUUACUCUAAGGAUAACAGGCUGAUCUCCCCCAAGAGUUCACAUCGACGGGGAGGUUUGGCACCUCGAUGUCGGCUCAUCGCAUCCUGGGGCGGUAGUACGUCCCAAGGGUUGGGCUGUUCGCCCAUGAAAGCGGUACGCGAGCUGGGUUCAGAACGUCGUGAGACAGUUCGGUCCAUAUCCGGUGUAGGCGUUAGAAUAUUGAGAGGAGCCUUCUUUAGUACGAGAGGACCGAGAAGGACAUACCUCUGGUGUACCAGUUAUCGUGCCAACGGUAAACGCUGGGUAGCUAUGUGUGGAGUGGAUAACCGCUGAUAGCAUCUAAGUGGGAAGCCCACCUCAAGAUAAGUAUUCUCAC